GAAGUGCGAAUGCUGACAUAAGUAACGAUAAAGCGGGUGAAAAGCCCGCUCGCCGGAAGACCAAGGGUUCCUGUCCAACGUUAAUCGGGGCAGGGUGAGUCGACCCCUAAGGCGAGGCCGAAAGGCGUAGUCGAUGGGAAACGGGUUAAUAUUCCCGUACUUGGUGUUACUGCGAAGGGGGGACGGAGAAGGCUAUGUUGGCCGGGCGACGGUUGUCCCGGUUUAAGCGUGGAGGUGUGUGUUCCAGGUAAAUCCGGUUCACUUUAACACUGAGGCGUGACGACGAGGCACUACGGUGCUGAAGCAACAAAUGCCCUGCUUCCAGGAAAAGCCUCUAAGCAUCAGGUAACAUCAAAUCGUACCCCAAACCGACACAGGUGGUCAGGUAGAGAAUACCAAGGCGCUUGAGAGAACUCGGGUGAAGGAACUAGGCAAAAUGGUGCCGUAACUUCGGGAGAAGGCACGCUGACACGUAGGUGAAGUGAUUUACUCAUGGAGCUGAAGUCAGUCGAAGAUACCAGCUGGCUGCAACUGUUUAUUAAAAACACAGCACUGUGCAAACACGAAAGUGGACGUAUACGGUGUGACGCCUGCCCGGUGCCGGAAGGUUAAUUGAUGGGGUCAGCGCAAGCGAAGCUCCUGAUCGAAGCCCCGGUAAACGGCGGCCGUAACUAUAACGGUCCUAAGGUAGCGAAAUUCCUUGUCGGGUAAGUUCCGACCUGCACGAAUGGCGUAAUGAUGGCCAGGCUGUCUCCACCCGAGACUCAGUGAAAUUGAACUCGCUGUGAAGAUGCAGUGUACCCGCGGCAAGACGGAAAGACCCCGUGAACCUUUACUAUAGCUUGACACUGAACAUUGAGCCUUGAUGUGUAGGAUAGGUGGGAGGCUUUGAAGUGUGGACGCCAGUCUGCAUGGAGCCGACCUUGAAAUACCACCCUUUAAUGUUUGAUGUUCUAACGUGGACCCGUAAUCCGGGUUGCGGUCAGUGUCUGGUGGGUAGUUUGACUGGGGCGGUCUCCUCCUAAAGAGUAACGGAGGAGCACGAAGGUUGGCUAAUCCUGGUCGGACAUCAGGAGGUUAGUGCAAUGGCAUAAGCCAGCUUGACUGCGAGCGUGACGGCGCGAGCAGGUGCGAAAGCAGGUCAUAGUGAUCCGGUGGUUCUGAAUGGAAGGGCCAUCGCUCAACGGAUAAAAGGUACUCCGGGGAUAACAGGCUGAUACCGCCCAAGAGUUCAUAUCGACGGCGGUGUUUGGCACCUCGAUGUCGGCUCAUCACAUCCUGGGGCUGAAGUAGGUCCCAAGGGUAUGGCUGUU
rnacentral:rRNA from 1 species